rnacentral:rRNA from 1 species
GACGAACGCUGGCGGCGUGCUUAACACAUGCAAGUCGAACGGAAAGGCCCUGCUUUUGUGGGGUGCCCGAGUGGCGAACGGGUGAGUAACACGUGAGUAACCUGCCCUUGACUUUGGGAUAACUUCAGGAAACUGGGGCUAAUACCGGAUAGGAGCUCCUGCUGCAUGGUGGGGGUUGGAAAGUUUCGGCGGUUGGGGAUGGACUCGCGGCUUAUCAGCUUGUUGGUGGGGUAGUGGCUUACCAAGGCUUUGACGGGUAGCCGGCCUGAGAGGGUGACCGGCGACAUUGGGACGGAGAUACGGCCCAGACUCCUACGGGAGGCAGCAGUGGGGAAUAUUGCACAAUGGGCGGAAGCCUGAUGCAGCAACGCCGCGUGCGGGAUGACGGCCUUCGGGUUGUAAACCGCUUUCGCCUGUGACGAAGCGUGAGUGAAGGUAAUGGGUAAAGAAGCACCGGCUAACUACGUG